rnacentral:misc_RNA from 1 species
CCGAGUGAGGGCUCACGCCCGACCUCCAACCCUUUGUGAACGCAUCUCGUUGCUUCGGGGGCGACCCUGCCGGGCGCCCCCGGAGGUCCAUUGAACACUGCAUCCUUGCGUCGGAGUCAAAGUUAAUUAAACA